rnacentral:rRNA from 1 species
UACGUAGGGACCAAGCGUUGUUCGGAUUUACUGGGCGUAAAGGGCGCGUAGGCGGCUUGUCAAGUCACUUGUGAAAUCUCUGGGCUUAACCCAGAACGGCCAAGUGAAACUGACAUGCUAGAGUGCAGAAGGGGCAAUCGGAAUUCUUGGUGUAGCGGUGAAAUGCGUAGAUAUCAAGAGGAACACCUGAGGUGAAGACGGGUUGCUGGGCUGACACUGACGCUGAGGCGCGAAAGCGUGGGGAGCGAACAGG